GUGCUCACUUCGGCAACAUGUAUACUAACGUUAGAACGAUACAGAGAAGAUCAGUGUGGGCCCUGGGCAAGGAUGACAUGCAAAUUUGUGAAGCCUUUCCUAUUUUU
ensembl:snRNA U6 U6 spliceosomal RNA